CCUACGGGUGGCAGCAGUGAGGAAUAUUGGUCAAUGGGCGAGAGCCUGAACCAGCCAAGUCGCGUGAGGGAAGACGGUCCUAUGGAUUGUAAACCUCUUUUACCGGGGAGCAAAAAGCGGUACGUGUACCGCAUCGAGUGUACCCGGAGAAAAAGCAUCGGCUAACUCCGUGCCAGCAGCCGCGGUAAUACGGAGGAUGCGAGCGUUAUCCGGAUUGAUUGGGUUUAAGGGGUGCGCAGUCGGCGAGUUAAGUCAGCGGUAAAAUUUCGGGGCUCAACCCGGACGAGCCGGGGAAACUGGAUUGUGAGAGUGGGCGAGAAGGAUGCGGAAUGCGGGGUGUAGCGGUGAAAUGCAUAGAUAUCACGAAGAAAUCCGAGUGCGAAGGCAGCAUAUCGG
rnacentral:rRNA from 1 species